rnacentral:rRNA from 1 species
UACGUAGGUGACAAGCGUUGUCCGGAUUUACUGGGCGUAAAGAGCGCGCAGGCGGUCGUUCAAGUCGAGUGUGAAAGCCCCCGGCUCAACUGGGGAGGGUCACUCGAUACUGAUCGACUCGAAGGCAGGAGAGGGAAGUGGAAUUCCCGGUGUAGUGGUGAAAUGCGUAGAGAUCCGGAGGAACACCAGAGGCGAAGGCGGCCUACUGGGCUGCACCUGACGCUGAGCCGCGAAAGCCAGGGGAGCGAACGGG